CUGCAGCUGCAGGUGUGUCCGGGCAGAGCGGGUCCUCUAAUGGCAACCAAGCAAAUCAACCUCGAUUUCAAACACAACAGUACUUCGGCGGAUGGGCUUCCAGCAGGUCGAGGAGGAGAUUUAAAGAGGGACUGAAAACCCUUGGUGUCCUGGAUGCCAUGAGGACGUACCCGGAGAGUUUUAGACCCUUGCUGUGCCAUCAACCACCUCCACUCACAGCCAACUCCAUGGAUCAGCUCUUCCGAAUUAGACUGUCUGUAGCAGGAAGCAACAAAAGAAUGGCAGAGGAACGUGUUGUGCCACUUUGGAGAGAUUAAUUGCUGGAUGUUGAGGAGGAGACCGGAGCCUCAAAGCUAAGCGACGUCUUAGCCUUUGCAACUGGUGCAAGCAUCGUCCCACCAAUUGGCUUCUCUCCUCAACCAACAAUUGCUUUCCUACAUGACCA